rnacentral:tRNA from 1 species
GGGCAAGUAGUUCAGUGGCAGAACGCUGUCCUGAUAAGACAGAAGUCGUAGGUUCGAUCCCUACCUUGCCCACCA